CUGAACGGCGACAACAAACCAGCCCCACCCACGAGCCAUAGACCACCCAUUGCCCCGGCGCACUCUACCCCCCGCGCCGCCGCCGCCGCCGCCGCCGAAAGAAGGAGAGAGAGGGAACGAGAGAGAUGGGAAAGAGAGGAGGGGUUCGUUCAUCCUCAGGGGGGAGUAGAAACGUUCUGCUCCGUCGUCUGGAAUCUUCCUUUAAGAACGGCAACUAUGGAACCCUCGACCAAAUCAUCAACCGUCUCCGUUCGAACUACCCCGACUACGCCCGAACAAAGCAACAAGUCCUCGCCAGGCAGGUCCAACGUGCCCUUGAAGAAUCUAAACACUUCCUAAACAACAACAAUAACAAGCAUAAGAGGAACAAAUCCCACUCUCCUUCUCAAACCCUAGUCUGCGCCGCCGAUGAUGAAGAAGAAGAAGAAGAUGAUGAUGAUUGCCAAUUCCGAAGCCCCACUCCGAAGAAGCUGAAGAAGAGUGAUGAGUGAACAGAGAUUGAUAUAUAGAGAGAGGCUCAGCAUCAUCGAAGGCGGCAUAUGGAGCAGGAACGUCCGUCGACGGCUACUUCGUCGUCUUUAUCAUCGUCCUCUUCUGACGAUGAAACGGAUGGUGCCGUAUCGACGUCGGAGGACGCGAUAUAUGGCGAGAGACUGGAGCCGGAGUUCAUUUUGAUGAGGUCAACGCUGCGCUCGAGUUAUAGCAAAGCAAAGCCGGCGGUGGAAUCGAAACCGGAGGAGAAGAAUCUUGAGAUGGAGGAGGUUGCUCAGAAGGCCAAGAAGAUCAAUUCGGUUGAAGGAGAGAGAAUUGAAGGCAUUGGGACGGAUUCGAAACCAGAAGUGAAGGGUUCCGGCGUUGGAGGCAAUGGUGUUGGUGGCGGUGGUGAGGUGAAGGGGAAGGACGAGCCAAUGUUCAGGGAUUUGGGUGGAAUGGGAGGGGUGGUGGAGGAGUUGAAAAUGAAUGUUGUUGUUCCGUUGUACCAUCCGCGACUACCUCAGUGUCUCGGAGUUAGGCCGCCAGUGGGGAUUUUAUCGCACGGUCCACCUGGGUGUGGAAAGACGAAGCUGGCUCAUUCCAUUGCCAAUGAGACUGGAUUUCCAUUUUAUAAGAUUUCAGCUACUGAAGUGGUCUCUGGUGUUUCAGGUGCAUCUGAAGAGAAUAUUUGAGAGCUUUUCUCAAAAGCUUACAGGACUGCUCCUUCAAUUGUAUUUAUUGAUGAGAUUGAUGCAAUUGCUUCAAAAAGAGAAAAUCUACAGAGGGAGAUGGAACAACGCAUAGUGGCAACUAAUGACCUGCAUGGAGGAAUCACACAGACUUGUACAACCAGCUGAUAAAGAUUUGAAUUCAGAAAGCUCUCAUCACGGACGUGGCUAUGUACUUGUGAUUGGAGCUACCAAUAGAAUCGAUGCUGUUGAUUGUGCAUUGAGGAGGCCAGGAAGAUUUGAUCUUGAGAUUCUGUUGGGUGUACCAGAUGAAAAUGCAAGAUUUGAUCUUGAGAUUCCGUUGGGAUUUGUUCUUAGCUUGUUUCUUCAUUGUAUAGCAACUGGAAAACUGUAGCCAUACCAAACAGCCCCUUUUUGUUGGACAUUCCUCCUGGCAGAGAAAAGGCCUUGUGAGUGCAACAAAAAAACUGAAGUUGCCUUGUUGAUCCUUUGUUUGGUUACCAUUUCAUGCUACCGACAUUUGUCUAUGUUCUAUUUAUCUGGACUUUGAAGUACAUUCAAUGUUGCUAUGGUCACAGUUUUGAAGAAUGUUACCAAUGUGAUAACUGCACUCGGCGAAAUGUAUAUGUUCAAUAAGCCCCAUGACAACAAAGUUUGGACUGCUUUGUUCUUAAUGAUCAUUUCUGCAAUUACUGGAGGAAUUACUGAUCUAUCUUUUCAUGCUGUUGGCUAUACAUGGCAAAUUAUUAACUGCUUCUUAACAGCAUCAUACUCUAUUUUUGUGUCUUAGUGGAUUGACAAGGUAUCAAAAACUGCACAUCUCCAUAAAGCACCAUCCUUUCUGGUUUUGCCAAAACCUUAUUGAUUACUUUCCGGAAUUCCCCACAUCCUGCAGGGCCACCAGGCUUCACCAAAACACGAGAAGAGAACACACCAUGAAAAGUUGUUGGUUUAGGAAAGCUUGUAUUUGCAAUAUUUUGUCUUUUUAUUUCUUUGUUUUGUUCCUGGAGAUUUGGUCAAUAUGGUAAAAUAGAUUGAGUCUUCGUUGGUUAUUAUUGUGGUUAGGAGAUUGUGUUUUGCGUGAGGGUUGUUAUUUUUCUCUCGGUGUCCCCUUUUUCAGUUUCUUCUCCCUUCACCCUCUCUUGUCCUAUAGAAGAUCUUGGAGUUUUGUGAGUCCCUCGUAAUAGGCCUCUAAUUCAAAUUAUUCUACACCACUAUGAACACUAUGGUGUGCUGUAACACUAGAUGCUAUCUUUUGAGGAAGCUUUUCAAAAUAGAAGUGGCGGUAGUUUACUCGAUACAUGGGCAAUGGCUACCUGGAAAAAGGAAAAUUGUGAAUUUAGAGCUAGGUGUGCAAGUAUGGACUUGCACAAAGUUAGAGGUUAACCAUGCCCAAUGAUGUUAUGAGAACCUUUUGCCUACAGUCCAAUCCUUCUGAGAACUAGGGAGUGCAACUCAGAUGGCUUGAUCAUAAUUUUAUAAGCUUGGGUUUAGGUUGUGUGAGGUCUGACUGGGUUGAAUGGGAUUGGGUCUACGACAUGUUCCAGUACUAAAGAAUAAAGAUCAGAAGGAUUAGCCUUCCCUAAUAUAUAUGUAAUCCUCCCAUUCAAAUCAAGAUGUUUCUAAUUACUGAGAUGCAUUCGGCAGCCUUGUGGGAUCCCUAAAUAAGAUACCCUUAUCAAUUGCUGGCAUCCUUCUUUUCAAGGUGCCUACCAGUUUGGAGAACUCUGCGAGCAUCCUUUUUGGUAAACCUUCUGUCGUUUCAUUGGCUUGACAAUGGACAUUCCUCCACCGACCAUAAAAAACUCAAGCUUCAAUCAAAUGUUUGAGGUCGUCUAGCAGGAGUGUUUUUUGAAAGGGCCAAAAUGCGCGAGAGAUCUCAAGCCUGAGACUUUAAUUAGAACUGCAGUGUAUUUUUACUCUGGCUUGUUCUGUAACUAAAAACUGGCAGCUUAGUUAUGCAUCUGACAAGCAAGCAGUUUUCUCUGAAGAACACGGAGUUUCUUCCAUUUGGCUUUUGCUACAAGAGCACGUAAUGAAAAAAAUUACAAUUAUCUUUUUAUGCUCCUUAAAUAAUAGAGAGGUUAAUUGGAGUUGCAAACACAAGAAGUAAUUUACCACACUAUAUGGUCAUGCAUAUGUCUCUGUGGCAGACAUUAAUGAAAAUGAUUUCACGAUUAAAAAUUGUUAAUUCAUAAAUCACUUAUCAAAAAAUGGGGAUUCAUUUCUUUUCCCCGUGUUAUCUUUAUAGAGACAAAUUUUAAUCCAACUAUUUAUUGAAAAGAAGAAAAGCCACCCAAGAUCUGAUUGUAAACAAAGAUGGGUUUUUUUUUUUCUUCCUUUACUCUUUAUUCCAUUUCUUUUGUGUACUUGGUCAUUAGAUAUUGUGAAAAAUUCUAUCACAUGAUGGAUUAAGCAGAAUUGCCCUGAUAGCAAACCAUGUAAAUGACUACUCGGUGGUUAAUUGGAGGGUAUUCUAAUCACAUGGCUGUCGUCUGGGGGAAGUAUUUAUUUUUUUGCCUCUGAGCUUUUGGCUUUAGUUUUAAGGGCUGCUGUUUCUUUGGCGAUUGCCCUCAUAGUCCCCUCUUCCCUGAAAUUGGGCCGGAUGUUGGCUCUGGAAGGGUGGAGGACCUUGUAGUGCCGGAGUUGCUGCAGCCAGAUGACCUGAGGUGUACAACUCCCCCUUCAAGGUAGCAUAAAUCUCUCUCUCUCUCUCUCUCUCUCUCUCUCUCUCUCUCUCACACACACACACACACACACAAUUUGAGAGGGAGUGAGGUUUGCAAACAAAGAAUCAAUCGAAAUUGAUCGUGAUCUAGGGUUUUAAGGCUUUGGUUUAGAUUUGAGUAGAUUUGGACAAAUUUAUUUUGUUGGGAAUAUGGAUUUUUGGACUUUUGAUUUGAAUUUUUAUAAAUGUGGACAAAGUAGGGCAUAAAAUUGGAUUGACUUUCUUUCAAAUUAACACAAGUUAAAAAAAAAAAAGAGUUCGAAAUCUAUGUUUACAAACACUAUCUUAGUAUAAUUUUGUUUUAUAUUUUAUUUAAAUUUAUAUAAAUCUGAAUCUAAAGUUUGACAUUAAAGCUCCCAAAUAUACAAUAACUCAAUAAGUAUAAAGAGUUAUAUAAUUUGCUUUUUCUUUCCUUUAAAUUUGUUACAUUUCCUUAUGUUAGAUGAUUAUUUUGUGAUUGCAGGAAAGUUUGUAAAUUUUCUUUUUGACUUAAAUAUGUUACCAAUAUAUCUUUCUUCAAACCUAAAUUGACUCGAUGCCAAGGUCGGCUCUUCACAAUAUGGGGCCCUAGGCGAAUGAUUUAAUUAGGGGUCCUUAAUAUUUUGUUUAAUUUUUAUUUAUUUUUAAAAUUAAUUUUUGUAAUUUUUUGAGAUGCAAAAUCACUAGUUAAAGUUUUAUAUUAAAGAUUAUAUUAAGACUUGAAAAAGAGAGAAUUAAAUUAUAUUUACUUUACUUUUUAAAAUACAAUUUCAUUUACUUUUUGAGAUAGUGGGAAAGUCAAUGUAUUGGAAGAGAUGAUAUCAGAAAUAAUGUUAAUAUUAAAAAAAAAUUGUGAGCCCCAACUUUUGUGGAAAAAUUAAUAUAUAUAAAGAGAUGGUAUCAUAAAUAAUGUUAAUAUUAAAAAAUAAAAUUUGGGAGUUCCAAAAAUUUUGAGGCCCUAUGCAAACUGCUCAAUGGCCUUACGGUCAAGCCGGCGAUGCCAAUCUAAGCUAUUGCUUCUCAUAAAUUCUAAUGACGAAAACAUGUGAAGAGGCAUCUGUGAGUAAAAUUUAUUUUGCUUAGGGUCUAUUUGGUAUAGUUAUUAUUUUUUAUUUUUUUAUUUUACUUCUCCACAGUGAAAAAAUAGAUUAUAAAAUACGUUUAUUUGGAUUAAAUUAUUAAUUUUAUAUACUUUUAAAUUAAAAGAAAAGAUACAUAAAUUUCAAAAAUAUAAAAAUAAAGCAUUUUUAUUAUUUUUUAGUUGUCAUGUUCAAUAAAAUUUUUAUUGCAAAAUAAAUCUUGAAAGUAGAACAAUUAAGUAAAAUAAUUAUAAUAAAUUUUGAAAGUAGAACGUAAAAUAAUUAUAAUAAAUUAAGCACUUUUAUUGUCCGUCCGAUGUCAUUUCUUGCUCGCUCAAUCGUUUGGAAUCGCCCAAAGAAGACCACUUGCUUGAGUCAUCGUGCCAACACAGAGGUCGGGGGUAUCAAAAAACAAAGGAGAACAAUUCUCUGCAGCGGCAACGAUCGAACGAUCCCUCUCCCUCUGUAAACGACGCCCUUCUGAAGCAUCGCAGACUCCCACCCGGCUUUCUUUUGUUCUCAGGAAGCAGACAGAGAGUCCCUCAUCCGAAGAUAGGAUUUUUGAAAUCUGAUUUCAGAUUGUAUUGAUAUAGGCGAAAUUGAUCGUGAUCUAGGGUUUUAAGGCUUUGGUUUAGAUUUGAGUAGAUUUGGACAAAUUUAUUUUGUUGGGAAUAUGGAUUUUUGAACUUUUGAUUUGAAUUUUUAUAAAUGUGGACAAAGCAGAGCAUAAAAUUGGAUUGACUUUCUUUCAAAUUAA